rnacentral:rRNA from 1 species
UACGUAGGGUGCAAGCGUUGUCCGGAAUUAUUGGGCGUAAAGAGCUCGUAGGCGGUUUGUUGCGUCGGCUGUGAAAUCCCGAGGCUCAACCUCGGGUCUGCAGUCGAUACGAGCAAACUAGAGUGUUGCAGGGGAGACUGGAAUUCCUGGUGUAGCGGUGAAAUGCGCAGAUAUCGGGAGGAACACCAGUAGCGAAGGCGGCUCGCUGGGCCAUUCCUGACGCUGAGACGCGAAAAGCUAGGGGAGCGAACAGG